GAGGGGCAGCGGGAAGGUUAGCUUGCUAACCUUUGCCGGCGACCGGCGCACGGGUGAGUAACACGUAUGCAACCUGUCCGGUACAGGGGGAUAAGCGGCGGAAACGCCGUCUAAUACCGCGUGACAACCCGAGGGGGCAUCCCCUUGGGUUCAAAGGAGAGAUCCGGUACCGGCUGGGCAUGCGGCGCAUUAGCUAGUUGGCGGGGCAACGGCCCACCAAGGCGACGAUGCGUAGGGGUUCUGAGAGGAAGGUCCCCCACACUGGAACUGAGACACGGUCCAGACUCCUACGGGAGGCAGCAGUGAGGAAUAUUGGUCAAUGGGCGCAAGCCUGAACCAGCCAAGUCGCGUGAGGGAAGACGGCCCUACGGGUUGUAAACCUCUUUUGCCGGGGAGCAAGCCUGAGCACGUGUGCCCAGGCGGAGAGUACCCGGAGAAAAAGCAUCGGCUAACUCCGUGCCAGCAGCCGCGGUAAUACGGAGGAUGCGAGCGUUAUCCGGAUUUAUUGGGUUUAAAGGGUGCGCAGGCGGGCUGUUAAGCCGGCGGUAAAAAUUCAGGGCUCAACCCUGUCGAGCCGUCGGAACUGGCAGUCUUGAGUGGGCGAGAAGUAUGCGGAAUGCGUGGUGUAGCGGUGAAAUGCAUAGAUAUCUUUGGGGAACGCCGAAUGCGAAGGCAGCAUACCGGCGCCCAACUGACGCUGAGGCACGAAAGCGUGGG
rnacentral:rRNA from 1 species